GUCCUCGUAGCUCAGUGGAUAGAGCACUCGCCUUCUAAGCGAGCGGUCGAGCGUUCGAAUCGCCCCGAGGACGCCA
rnacentral:tRNA from 1 species